UACUAGAGUCAACAGCUGUUCUGAUGAAAUAGACGUGGUCCUCCAUUCACCACAAAGGCAGAGGUCAAGACUGACAGCAACUGCGCAUCACCAGGCGGAAAUUGCUAAGUUCUGGAGGCCGGCGCUGAUGCGAGACUGGGGCCUGCUGGAUCUGUCCCUGGUCACAGAGCAGCUGUGCGCUGUCAAAGUGCCGAGCGCUGUUACAGGUUUUUGCAGUUGUUGUUAUUUAAACCUCAAUCUAAAAAUCUAGUUUAAGAAGUGGGAAUGUUUGUGAUACACGUGAAUAAACCAAGGGGAAGAACUCAGAAGUUACAUCAUCCAUGAAGGGUGAAAAUGUGAUGAACUUUCACUGCUCCAAAGCACUAUAGUAAGUACUAAUGCAUGAGCAAAACCUUUUUAAGGGAAAGAUAAUCAUCACCCUCAGGAGAACAAAAUUCUGUUUGUUUACCUUAUAGAAUAGGAUUCUUAAGCAAAAAAAUAAUGUGGUGCCUGGAGUAUAAUUUGCAAUUAUAGUUCUGAGAAAUUUGGAAAAAUUUCAGACUAAUAGGAGAAUCUGGCAUAGAAGCAAAGAGAAAUGAGGGUUUUUGUUUUUGUUUUUUAAAUGUGUAGGUGACAGUGAAAGCCAUGACUAUUUUGAUAUGUAGAUCACAUAGCUGCUACAUACUGGGAUACAAACUAUUACUUAUUAACAAUGUAUUUGCCUCAGAUUAUCUGUUGAAAUCACAUACCACAUUCCAAUAUGUAGACCUUUCUGGACUCAAGACUAUUUUGGUGUAUCUGUAUAUAUGUUAUUGAGUGAUAACAGAAUAGUCCAGAAAUUAGUACUAAAUAUUUCUUUGUAGAUUUCUAGAAGGAUGCUCCUCUUGGAAACUUCACACUGUAAGACGUAGCAUUGUGCAUUCAUUCAUACAGAGCACACUGUGUCAGGUGUAGAAGAUAUAGAGAUGCAUGUGUCGCUGCCUACCCUAUUUUGAGUAGCAAACAUGCACAACAAUCAUCAGUGUUCAUUUAUAUCUUGUAGGAGGUGGGCAAUUACCUUUGCCUAGUGAACUGGGAAAAUAUCUGAAGGGAGGUGAUAGCUGAACUAGUUAUGAAGGAUUAACAUUCAGAAAAACACUCUGAUGGUUAUGUGCAUUGCAGGACAGAAAACUAGUUAUGAAAGAUUAACAUUCAGAAAAACACUCUGAUGGUUAUGUGCAUUGCGGGACAGAAAAUAAUGGAGAAAUUCAUUGUUGGCAUACUAGAUGGGUAUGAGAGAAAAGACUUGGCUGGUGACAUGAGUGGCUGCAGGAGCCAGCUGAUGCAGGGCCUAGUAAGCCCUGCUAAGGAGUUUAUUUGUAAUAAACUCCUAAUUCAUAAAUCCCAAUAGUUAUGAUUUAUUGGAUAUUGUGUUAGGCACUAUGCUAAGCACCUCAAAGAGACAGAGGUACUACUAUUACUAUUGUACUAGUUAAAAAAAAAAGAAAAAAAAAAACAACCUGAGGCUUAGUGAUGAAACACAGAGGUUUAAAUAAAUAGCUGGUAAGGAGUGAAGCCAAGAUCCAUAUACCAGGUGUGACUCUGAAGCUCAUAUACUGUAAUGCCUCCUACCUGUUCUCUGUAGGCUUUUUAUUCAGCUGUGUAAAUUAUCAGCACCAUAGCACAGGUUCAAACUAACUCUCUCUCUCUCUGCCCCCGUGCAUUCUCUGUGGGCUAAGAGACACCAGAAGAUUCAUAGACCUGGGUUAGAAAAACGUUUGAUCCUAUAGCUUUCCUCCUCAUUAGAACAGAAAUUCAUGUUGUAAAAUAUAGAACCCUAUAAAGAAAUACAAAUCAUUUCUUAUCCUACUACACAAAGGUCACCACUAUAAACAUUUCUUUAUAUUUUUAUAUAUGUACAUACUCAAACAUACUUGAAAUUAUGUGUUUAUCAAGUAUGUUCCAUUCAGCAUCCUACUCAUUUUACUACUUAAUCUCAAAUUCAUUUUACAUUUUAGACACAUUUUAAAAGAAAACUAUUUUAAAAGUUUUCAAGUAUUCAACUGUGCAGUGUUGCUAUUUAACCACCUACUUGGUAUCUAUUUUUAUAUUCUCUUUAUUUCUAAUUGUUUUUCUUAUUAGGUUUGCCAAUCAUUAUUGCCCUUCCUCAAAGUUUCUUGUCAACAGCUAAAGGGGUUAGAUAGUAUUUCUAUUGAUCUUAAGUACUAUUAUCUCAGAAUGUAACAAAGGAUGCUGAAAGCUCUUCAGAUAAUCCAUCUAGAAACUUUUAGGACAACCAUCUUCAUAAAAACAUACAAAAAUACUUGUGCAAAGUGGAAUGCCUUUUUUCAGAGCAGGUUCAGUCAAAUUCUUUUGCAUGUCAAUUGUCUGAGGUUCCAUAUGUUCCCCACAGACAAGUUACAACCAUUAACAAUGCAAAUCUGAAAACUAUUGGUGCAAUCAGAAUCCUGCACUGAAGAAUGCCAUGACUCUCAGAGAAAUCAAAAAGGGAACUAAAAAAAAAAAAUCCAGCUACUUCUUUGGUACAUAAAGUAUAAAGUGGGCAUUUAAUUUCAUAGUAAACAAAGGACUGGUUCAAUGGCUGUGUGUCUCAUCUGUACAUGUGUGUGGGUUGAUGCCGCCUACAGAACACAUGUUUUUCUUUUAAACCAUACUCAACACUAUCGGGAAAGGUGAGAUAAUCUGCAAACAACCCUAAGUUGGCUUGUUUACUGGCACUAAAAUACGAAUGGCUUUAGUCUUCCUGUACAGAGUAUUAAUAAGAACCACCUGGUCAAGCAGCACCCAGAAACGAGGUCAAAGGAUAAAACUUCCUGUAGUAUAUUACAGACAACUCAUCACAAUGCAGUGGGGAUGGGCCAUUCAUUUGGGCAGAAGAGCCAAAGGUUCUACAAUGAAAACUUUGCAAAUCUUAGGUGUACAUGAAAGAAAACUGGUAGAUUCUGGGGACACUCCACCCACAAGGAUAGCAACUCUAUCCUCUGCAUUCUUUCAUGGCAUGCAGGGUAGUGAUGUCGGCUGUAGUUAGCAGUUUCAUUCUCACAAAAAUAGUAGACUUCUUUAAGAAAUGCACAUUUUGUAUUAAGUGAAUGACUAUAAGAAGACAGUCUAGAGGAGAGGAGGUGUCAAACUCCUGUUAACAAUCAGAGCUAAUAUUGCACAAUGAUAAUAUUUUCCCUAAGUACGUACUGAUGUGAAGAUUUUAUGCAUUUAUAAAAGCUUCUCAGGACAACUGGAUACAAAGUAAACUUUUUUUUCUCUUGCAUCAAUGUUUAGCCACUAGAACAAACAUUUCUUGUAUGAAAUCGGAGAGAAAUGGUGGCAAAAGAGAAAAAGAAAAACACAUGCUAGAAUGAGGAGACCUGGGUUAUAUUCUCAACUUUGACAUUAGCUAUGUGACCUUCAAUUAUGGCACAGUCUGCCUGAAGCCCUAGUUUCUUUAUAACAUGAGCGUUUAGGGAAAAUGACUCAGGGUUGCUUCUAGGUCAAAGAAAGUCUGUGACUUUAUUAUCAAAACAAAGUCUGUUACCUGCAUAGCACCGUAGCUACAGUAGAUACGUAAUACACAAAAGACAUAUAUCCCCAAUGCCAAGAGCUGACCAGCAGGCAAGAUAUAACUGAUGAAACAAUUUUAUUACAGUGUAAGGCAAUGAGGGAUGAAGAAUUAAAAAGACAAAUUCAGAGAGAAGAGAGCUCAGUUGUAACCUGGAGAGGGUAAACUGAGCUUGAGCUGAAUUUGAAGAAUGGGUGAAGUUGGAGAGGUGGAAGGGAAGUGGAUAGGGUUCCCAGUUAGGAGGAGUAAUUGGCCUGUGGAGGAUGGGGCUGGACUGGUGUGUAAAAUCGUAGAGAUGUUAAGGAGGUUUGUCAAGGUAGCAGCACUUGGAAUAUCUAACUAAGGAGUUUAGACUUUUGUCUUGUAAAUGGAAGGAGCGAGAGGCUAACACUUCCUCAGUGCCAAGAGACACAAAUAGGUGGGGGCAUUUUAAGCAAUUUAGGGCAGCAGUCGGGAAGGAUGGACCAAAGAUGUUUCUGGCUGGUAGCAGAGAAACUAGGUAGAAUUACAGUGGAAAUGGAGUGGGUGUAAUAGAUGCAAGACAUAUUGUGAAGAGAGUUCAUGUGACUCAGCGGUGGGUGGGAAUCAAAGAACCCCAAAUCAUGUCUGAGUGGGCCAACUGGUUUGGGAUAGCUGAAUUCAUUUGCUUGUAUUCAGACAUUCAGAUGGGUAGAACAUGGGAUAUUUACCCAGAGAUAUUUUCUCAGGUUGCUGAAGCCCUGGGACCAAAAACAGAGCUACCCACAAAUCUUAACAGAAAUGACAGCUGGAACUGCAACAUGCAUGUGAUUCGUUUAUCAAGAUUAGGCAUAUAUUGAGAGAAGUAGGUAUCAAGGCCUAAAAUUAGCACAUGCUUUUGUGUCUCCAGAACCAAAAUUUUGCCUGAUGGGAAAACAAUGACACAUCCUUCCUGUUUUUCUUGCCUCCUGGAGCAACUUCAAAAAUCUCCUUCCUCCAUCCUUCCUCAUCUGAUAUUUAGCAUUUAUACUUUUAGACUACAUAUAACAACAACCAUAUAAAAAGCUGGGUAUGUGGAUACAUAUAUGUAAGCAGAAUUUUGCUGAAUUAUUAAAAAUGUGUUAAUUACAAUGUUUCAAAGUUUUUAAAGCAUAUACCCUCUGACUUAAUUAUUGCAGUUUUAGGAAUUUAUCCUACAGAUGCACUUGCACAUGCAUGAACUGCAGAACUGUUUGCAGUAGUAAAUACUGGAAACCAUCUAAAUGUUCACCCCAGAGGACUGGUUAAAUAGCACAUCCACAUGAUGGAAUACCGAUGCAGUCACUUAAAAGCAUUAGAGAUGCAAAGCUUCAUGGACUGAUAUAGAAUAACUGCCAGGAUGAAUUAACUGAAAAAGCAGGAUCUCAUUCUAUCAUCCCAGCUGGAGUGCAGUGGCA